AGCGAACGCUGGCGGCGUGCUUAACACAUGCAAGUCGAGUGCGCGGUUGUAGCAAUACAACUGGCGCACGGCGCACGGGUGCGUAACACGUGGGUAAUCUGCCCUUCGAUGGGGAAUAACCUCGCGAAAGCGAGGCUAAUUCCGCAUAACAUUCCGAGAACUCUGGUUUUUGGAUUCAAAGGCGUAAGUCGUCGGAGGUGGAGCCCGCGCACGAUUAGCUAGUUGGUAGGGUAAUGGCCUACCAAGGCUUUGAUCGUUAGCUGGUCUGAGAGGAUGGCCAGCCACACUGGAACUGAGACACGGUCCAGACUCCUACGGGAGGCAGCAGUGGGGAAUCUUGCACAAUGGGCGAAAGCCUGAUGCAGCGACGCCGCGUGGGGGAUGAAGCUUCUCGGAGUGUAAACCCCUUUCGACCCGGAAGAAAGCCCCGCAAGGGGACUGACGGUACGGGUAUAAGAAGCCCCGGCUAACUACGUGCCAGCAGCCGCGGUAAGACGUAGGGGGCCAGCGUUGCUCGGAAUUACUGGGUGUAAAGGGUUCGUAGGCGGUGUGGCAAGUUGGGAGUGAAAUCUCUGGGCUUAACCCAGAGGCUGCUUCCAAAACUGCUG
rnacentral:rRNA from 1 species